rnacentral:rRNA from 1 species
UACGAAGGGGGCUAGCGUUGCUCGGAAUCACUGGGCGUAAAGGGUGCGUAGGCGGGUCUUUAAGUCAGGGGUGAAAUUUCGGGGCUUAACUCCGAAACUGCAUUUGAUACUGCGGUGCUUGAGCCAGCUAGGGGCGAGCGGAACAGACGGUGGAGCGGUGAAAUGCGUAGAUAUCGUCUGGAACGCCGAAGGUGAAAACAGCUCGCUGGGGCUGCGCUGACGCUGAGACACGAAAGCCAGGGGAGCGAACGGG